AGACCCCGUGAACCUUUACUAUAGCUUGACACUGAACACUGGUCCUUGAUGUGUAGGAUAGGUGGGAGGCUUUGAAGCGUGGACGCCAGUCUGCGUGGAGCCGCCCUUGAAAUACCACCCUUUAAUGGCUGGUGUUCUAACGUGGACCCGUAAUCCGGGUUGCGGACAGUGUCUGGUGGGUAGUUUGACUGGGGCGGUCUCCUCCCA
rnacentral:rRNA from 1 species